CCUACGGGUGACAGCAGUGAGGAAUAUUGGUCAAUGGUCGCGAGCCUGAACCAGCCAAGUCGCGUGAAGGAUGACUGCACUACGGGUUGUAAACUUCUUUUAUCAAGGAAUAAAGUCAGGCACGUGUGCCUUUUUGUAUGUACUUUAUGAAUAAGGAUCGGCUAACUCCGUGCCAGCAGCCGCGGUAAUACGGAGGAUGCGGGCGUUAUCCGGAUUUAUUGGGUUUAAAGGGAGCGUAGAUGGGUUGUUAAGUCAGUGGUGAAAGUUUGCGGCUCAACCGUCACAUUGCAAUUGAUACUGGCAGUCUUGAGUACAGGUGAGGUAGGCGGAAUGCGUGGUGUAGCGGUGAAAUGCUUAGAUAUCACGAAGAACUCCGAUUGCGAAGGCAGCUUACUAA
rnacentral:rRNA from 1 species